rnacentral:rRNA from 1 species
AACGAACGCUGGCGGCAGGCCUAACACAUGCAAGUCGAACGCGCGUAGCAAUACGCGAGUGGCGCACGGGUGAGUAACACGUGGGAAUCAACCCUGAGGUUCGGAAUAACCGCGGGAAACUGCGGCUAAUACCGGAUGUCCCCCAUGGGGAAAGAUUUAUCGCCUUGGGACGAGCCCGCGUCCGAUUAGCUAGUUGGUGAGGUAACGGCUCACCAAGGCUACGAUCGGUAGCUGGUCNGAGAGGAUGACCAGCCACACUGGAACUGAGAUACGGUCCAGACUCCUACGGGAGGCAGCAGUGGGGAAUAUUGGGCAAUGGAGGGCAACUCUGACCCAGCCAUGCCGCGUGGGUGACGAAGGUCUUCGGAUUGUAAAGCCCUUUCGGCGGAGACGAUGAUGACGGUAUCCGCAGAAGAACGCCCCGGCUAACUUCGUGCCACG